GCGAAGAACCUUACCUGGCCUUGACAUAGUAGAGACUUUCCAGAGAUGGAUUGGUGCCUUCGGGAAUCUACAUACAGGUGCUGCAUGGCUGUCGUCAGCUCGUGUCGUGAGAUGUUGGGUUAAGUCCCGCAACGAGCGCAACCCUUUUCCUUACUUGCCAGCAUUUCGGAUGGGAACUUUAAGGAUACUGCCAGUGACAAACUGGAGGUAGGCGGGGACGACGUCAAGUCAUCAUGGCCCUUACGGCCAGGGCUACACACGUGCUACAGUGGUCGGUACAAAGGGUUGCUACACAGCGAUGUGAUGCUAAUCUCAAAAAGCCGAUCGUCGUCCGGAUCGCAGUCUGCAACUCGACUACGUGAAGC
rnacentral:rRNA from 1 species